AGAGUUUGAUCAUGGCUCAGGAUGAACGCUAGCUACAGGCUUAACACAUGCGAAGUCGAGGGGAAACGAUAUUGGAAGUCUUGCCUCCGAUAGGCGUCGACCGGCGUACGGGUGAGUAACGCGUAUCCAACCUGCCCACCACGUUGGGGAUAACCUUGACGAAAGUAAGACUAAUACCCAAUGACGUCUCUAGAAGACAUCUGAAAGAGAUUAAAGAUUUAUCGGUGAUGGAUGGGGAUGCGUCUGAUUAGCUUGUUGGCGGGGUAACGGCCCACCAAGGCGACGAUCAGUAGGGGUUCUGAGAGGAAGGCCCCCCACAUUGGAACUGAGACACGGUCCAAACUCCUACGGGAGGCAGCA
rnacentral:rRNA from 1 species